AGAUAAACACCGCCUACUACUACUACUACACUCACGUGGACUGGCUGAGGUCAAAUUUAAAACCAUGAAAUUUUCCCGUCUCUGAAGAGCACUACUGCUGACCAUUUCUGCAGGCGCAAAAUCAUCACCAAGAAGAACAAACGUGCUUUGUUAGACAAUUUCUUGCGACCUCUUAUGGUGGAAGUGAUGCGACCUCUUGUGAUGACAAUGACAAAAUUGGAAAGUAGGGUGCAAGAUCAGCAGAAGAAAUAAUGAUAGGUACCAUCGAACAUUUGAAACAAACUCAGGCUGCUGCACCCACUGGACCUGAUUUAUCCCUGCUGGACGGAUUGCUACCAAUACAAAGAUAUGUAGACUUUGAGGACUUUGAACAACAGAUAAAUGGGGACAGUCCCCUUAGAAAGUCACUGGUACAUAGACUCUAGAUUCUUGGGGGAGCAACCGUCAGCAGUCAAAACCAUGAUUGACUUCUGCAUGACAAGUGGACUCCAGUAUGAGUUCAACUGGGAAGGUCGUCUUGGCUGGAAGACGAAAACAAAUACUGUACAUGCAAGAAAGGGUUCAAGAACACGACAUUGUGUGGAAUUAUAAUAAAUAUUCUGGUGAACAAGACACAAUUAUCAACUGAUGAAACUGAAGUAGGGAAAACUAUGAUGAUUUAUCUAAGAAAUGCAUGUGACAGAUACUUGGGAAGGAAAAGACCAAAAGACUUGCACAGUCAGCAAAGUCAAGAUGUGAAUCCCAAUUCAUCUCAACCUAAUUCUGGUGGGGAUCCUGAAGGAAUAUGAUAUAGAGCACUUUUGCUGACUGUUGUCAAGGAAAUUAUAAAUAUUCAUGUAAUUUGUUUAUCACUCAAAUUUAUCUGAUUAUUGU